rnacentral:rRNA from 1 species
CUACGGGAGGCAGCAGCUAAGAAUAUUCCGCAAUGGACGAAAGUCUGACGGAGCGACGCCGCGUGGAUGAAGAAGGCCGAAAGGUUGUAAAAUCCUUUUGCUGAUGAAGAAUAAGUGUGGUAGGGAAUGACCGCAUGAUGACAUUAGUCGGUGAAUAAGCCCCGGCUAACUACGUGCCAGCAGCCGCGGUAACACGUAGGGGGCAAGCGUUGUUCGGAAUUAUUGGGCGUAAAGGGCAUGUAGGCGGUUUCGUAAGCCUGGUGUGAAAUCCUGCAGCUUAACUGUAGAAUUGCAUUGGGUACUGCGAGACUUGAAUCACAGAGGGGAAACUAGAAUUCCAGGUGUAGGGGUGGAAUCUGUAGAUAUCUGGAAGAAUACCGGUGGCGAAGGCGGGUUUCUAGCUGAUGAUUGACGCUGAGGUGCGAAAGUGCGGGGAGCAAACAGGAUUAGAUACCCCGGUAGC